rnacentral:lncRNA from 1 species
GUGUCUUUUUGUUGAUGGGAUGUACAAGUACUCGGUCACGUCCACUCUCUGUUUUUGUUAGAUGUAUUUCUAUUUGUAUCCAUCUGAUGAGUUAAGCCUUUUUCAACUGAUUUGUAUAGUUCGUUCUUAUGUUGUACUGUUACACCACUGUCCCAGGUUAAGGGGAGGGUUGGGAUCCCGCUAACAUGUUUAACCUCGCCACAUUCUGUAUGUAUGUGCCUGUCCAAAGUCAGGAGUCUUUAAUUCAGUGGUUGUCGUUUGUUGCUGUGUUACAUAUUUGUUUUUGUUCAUUUUUUUAUACAUAAAUUAGGCCGUUAGUUUUCUCGUUUGAAUUGUUCUACAUUUGUCAUUUCAGGUCUUUUUAUAGCUAACUAUGAGGUAUGGGCUUUGCUCAUUGUUGAAGGUCGUACGGUGACCUAUAGUUGUUAAUUUCUGUGUCACGUGGUCUCUUGUGAAGAGUUGUCUCAUUGGCAAUCAUACCACAUCUUUUUUUAUAUUAUAUGCUCAUAUGCAUUGAUAAUUUUCUUGAAAUAAUCAUAGAUUUUUGUUAGAUGUAUCCAUCUGAUGAGUUAAGCCUUAUUGUUG